AGGUGAUCUGCAACUCCUUCACCAUCUGUAAUGCAGAGAUGCAGGAAGUUGGUGUUGGCCUGUAUCCCAGUAUGUCUUUGCUCAAUCACAGCUGUGACCCCAACUGUUCGAUUGUGUUCAAUGGGCCCCACCUCUUACUGCGCGCAGUCCGAGACAUUGAGGCGGGAGAGGAGCUCACCAUCUGCUACCUGGAUAUGCUGAUGACCAGUGAGGAGCGCCGGAAGCAGCUGAGGGACCAGUACUGCUUCGAGUGUGACUGUUUCCGGUGUCAAACCCAGGACAAGGAUGCUGACAUGCUGACCGGUGAUGAACAAGUAUGGAAGGAAGUGCAAGAAUCCCUGAAAAAAAUUGAAGAACUGAAGGCACAUUGGAAGUGGGAGCAGGUUCUGGCCAUGUGCCAGACGAUCAUAAGCAGCAAUGCCGAGCGGCUUCCUGACAUCAACAUCUACCAGCUGAAGGUGCUCGACUGCGCCAUGGACGCCUGCAUCAACCUGGGGCUGCUGGAGGAGGCGCUCUUCUACGGCAUGCGGACCAUGGAGCCGUACAGGUGAGUCCCAGGGAGGGGGCUGGCAAAGGCCAGACAGCGUGACGUCAUUCCCAUCGCUACUGCUUUACAUGGAGCGCGUUCCAUCCGCUUCUCAAUCAGGGGGUAAAACCGAUCCUUGUCUCGCUCGCUCGCUCGGUUGUGCGUUUAUCGUUCACGCCUCACUUGCAAAGUUCCUUUUGCGCGUCGGGCACUGUGGGUGUGUCCAGACUAAUGAGAGGCCAUCCCCAGGCGGAGCCAGGGGUGCCAAGAUGUGCUGCUGGCGAUGGCAGAGGCAAGUCCACAGCGCUGGGGAGCAAAGAGGCGAGCAGCUCUGCAGUAGCUGGGGGGCGUGGCUAUCAUUGGCUCCACCCCCACCCCGCCUCCAUGCAGGGGAGCGUGGCCCUGUGGGACCCUCAGUCUGGCUGACAGCGGUGCUGGUUUCUUCCGUUUUUCAGGGCUUCGUGGUUCCCAGGGGGCCUUCCCUGAAUCAUGUGGCCUCAUAACCCUCUUUUGAGGAGACAGCCCUGCUCAAAUAUGUCAUGCAGUCCAGUGAAGGAACAAUUGCUAAUCCAUGUUCCUGACUGGCUCCUCCAGACCAGCAGGUGUUUUGCUCCUAGAUGUUCUGGUAACUCAGAGGAGCUUUGGGAGGGAGGGCAGUAUGGAAGAGCCGAGAAUCUGGUGCUGGUGGGUGUGGGACCCUGGUUUGCAGUGGGCUAGGACCUACGUUUGGAAGACGAGAUAGACCGGUGCACAGGAAAGGCCACAGAGACUUACAUGCCGUCAUCUGGGGUUGGAGUAGCCGUCUCCAGCCCAGAACAAGGUCACUCACCUUCAGGAAGGUGCCCUGAAACAUCUGGGACUGGGGAGGGUUGUGGGGGUGUCCCUGGGGAGGAGGGCUACCAUUCUGGGCAGAGCUUGAGUUGCCCAGAUCUGAAGAUCAUGCAAACAUGACAUUGGCCCUAAGAGGCUGAGCAGAGGGACUUCAGGUCUAGACCUGUGUGACAUGGAGCAACAGGCAGGGGAGUGGUCCUCAGGGAGGGUGAGUGGCGGGGGCAGAGCUCCGGGGAUGGCCCGUCCCCACUUGAGGGGGAGCCUUAGAAGACAGCUGAGGGGGGGAGUUACCAGGAUCUGCUGGAGAAGAGCAGAAGCAAGUUCAGAGUCUCAGACAGCAGUUCGUGCAAAGGUGGAAGCCGGAAAUGGUGCAUGGAUCGGGAGGCCGGCCUGGGCCCGGAGCUCGGUGCAGGCAGAGAAGAGCCUGAAGAUGGCAUGGUCCCAUCAGCCAGGUGCGUGGCUGAAGCCCACGGGCCAGCCGUGGCACUGGGGUGACCGGGAGGGUGUUUUCAGAGCCUCUCUAGGUGGUUUCUUCCACUGCCUUGUGGUUGAGCAGCUUAGGAAUCCAGACUGUGAGUCAGCUGUAAUCAAGCGGAGAGGAGAUCGCCCUGGGGGCCGAGACUGUAGACGUUCCCAGGAGCCUGAAACGUCUGCGAGGUAUGAUGAAUCUUGUGGGUUCUCAGAAAAUACGAAGUGAAUGCAAAGCGAUAAGGCUGCGUGCGUUCUCUGAGCCUCUGUGUUGCAACCCAGAGGCAGGCUGGGGACGGUUGGCGUCACCUCUGUGAACUUGGGGCUCGCUCUCAGGAAGCCAGACCGCAGGUGGCUGGGUGAGGGGAUGGACGCCGGCCAGGAGACGGACACGAAAAUGCGCCUUCCUCCGGAGCCCUGGGUGACUGCAGGCCCCGUGCUGCUGGCUGGUGCUGGCUGUACCCUGACCCUCCCCCUCCUCCUCCCCCUCUCUCACUCCCCCUCGCCCCCCCUCCGCCUCCCUCUCCCUCGCCCCCCCUCCACCUCCCUCUCCCUCCCCCUCGCCCCCCUUCCUUUACCGCCCAGGCCCCCGCCCCCUGCACAGCAUGUCCGUGGUCCCCCGCAUCUUUAAGAAGGCCGCACGCCUUUGAGGGUCCUCGUUUCUCCGAAUCUUCUUUCCCUGUACCCAUCAAGGCUUCUCUCAGGGACCUUCCUACCUCUCCCUUAACCAGCAGUCGCCCAGAGUCAAAGAGGCCUUUCUCAUAGGCCAGGCCGAGUCCAUGGAACGUCCUCCACGGUGUUUGAGAAACUCUGGGUUAUGUCUUCCCGGCGUUUUUGCAGGUCGAGAACCCUCUGGAAAUAAACGCACGCGCGGUUCUUAGGCGGGUGACCCGGGUCCCCCCGCGGUUCUUUUUCCUGGAGCUUGUUGAGGGCUUGUUCUGCGGUGUUUCGGGAAAUCCAGUCUGCACUGAUCCACCUCAUGUGAGUGAGAUCCGAACCGUUGGCUUUCUGAGUCACAGCAGAGGCAAGAGCUGUGUGCAGUCCAGACCAACAGAGUCAAGAGACAGCAGAGCAGGGAGGCCGUAGCUGUUGGCCUUUGUCCACUUUAGCUCAGGCAAAAGCGAAAAUAGGAGCCCGAGGAUCCCAUGCCCUGCAAGGCCCCCCCCCCCCCCCCCCCCCGAGUGUGGGCAGGAGUCCAGAGGUGGGCCCUGGUUUUCGGCCCAGGUGUGCACGAGGAAACCAGGCCAUGGGCCGUCAGCCGUCUACAUGGCCUCCUGGCCAGUGCUCUGGGCAGGCUCUGUGUCCCCCUGCAGCUGAGGACGUGUACAGUUAGUCCCCAGUUACUGCAAGGUGACUGGAUUGCCAUCCGCUGUAAUAGUGUUAUCAUGUUAAUAUGCUGCUUGCAACAACUAGAGUGAGGUCAAGGCUCUAAGGGAUGACUUUGUCCCUUCUGACCUUGGCUCGAUCUUCACUGCUGCCCUUAGGGGGGAAAGUGUCCAUGUUCCAUUUUUAUCCAAAUCACCACCGCAUUGCCUUCCCCGCCUUUCUUGCUACUCCAUCAUCUGUAUUUGCUCAUACAAGUUCUUUUUAUGAUGCAAUACAAAAUGUUGAGUUCUUUAUGUUUCAUAAAGCAAUUUAGAAGUCAUUCAUAUGCAGCAAAAUGUAUAAUCUUUCAUAUUAGCUCAUGACACUUCUGAGAGGGUCUGUGUAUCUGUGAUUAUAUAUGCAGUCACUUAGCCCUAUAAACAUUCAGUGGAAUGAAAACGAUUUGAAGGUAUUUCACAAAUUUUACUUUAAAACAUAAUUCAGUCAAAUCUCGACUGUAAGAUGAAUCAGGUUCCAAGUUACUUUGCUAGUUGGUAGAGUUUCGAACUUGGAAAGGGUUUCCCUACUGAGGAGGGUGUGACAGAUCAGGUCGAGGUCCCCUGGUCUAGCCUGUGAAAGUCUGCUCAGCCUGUAAUGUCAUCAAUGUAGGCUAUAAACUGGGGAAAAAAAAAAA
rnacentral:lncRNA from 1 species